CUCUGGGAUGGGAAUGUUCUUCUGGAGAGCCCAGAUGACAUCUCCACCCAUAGUUACUCCUUCUAUAAGGACUUGUUUUCGGCUGAGCCGCGUGGAGGUGUAUCCCUCUAUGCUGACUUUUGGCCGCUGGCCGAUCGGGUCUCCGAUGCGGAGAAUGUGGAGCUUACUCUUCCUUUCUCUCCCGAGGAGGUGGGAUGGGCGAUUGCUUCUAUGAAAGCUUGCUCAGCUCCGGGGCCAGAUGGCUUUCCGGUAAUUUUCUUCCAGAAAUUCUGGGAGAUCCUGUGUCCGGUCAUUAUGCCCAUGUUCCAUGAGUUUUAUAUCGGAACUCUGGACAUGGCUAGGAUUAACUAUGGUGUCAUAUCUCUAAUCACAAAAGUAGUUGGGGCAACAAAUAUUCGGCAAUUUUAUCCCAUCACGGUGAUCAACGUGUUGGAGCGAAUCUUUGCGAAGGUUUGCGCGACCCGUUUAUCCCCCGUGGCGGAAAGGAUUGCCCACCCCCUUCAGUCCGCAUUCUUGAAGGGCCGACAGAUCCAUGACGGGAUUCUUGCCCUUCACGAGAUUGUCCAUGAGGUGGCGUCGAAGGAGAUUAAGGGGGUCGUCCUCAAAUUGGACUUCCAGAAGGCGUAUGACCGUCUGGACUGGUCCUUUUUUAGGUCGGUG
rnacentral:rRNA from 1 species